CUUUUAUAAGCAGGAGCCCAGGCUCCAUAUUGUCUUUUCGAGGUAGGAGCCGACGCUGUUGAGGUAUGGUGUUGGGUGCAGAUACGAUGUGGCUCUCGAUAGCACCUUAUGGACAGUUGUGUCCCAAAGGAGGGAUGACAAUAGCUACUGAAGUCCUAAAGAGCAAGCCUAACUCAAGCCAUUGGCAUACAGGCAUUAGACAGAAAACUAGAAGUUGAAAUGGUGGAGUCCAACUUGUCUGGACCAGCUUUAUGUUUCUGGUGCCGAUGUUUGGAGACCUUUUAAAGGUAUGGAGAGUCGACUUGACUACACUGUGUGGAGCAAGUUUUAAAGAAGCAAAGGACUCAGACUUCAUGCUUGAAGAAAUGCAGGCAGACCUGUUAUCCUAAACUAGGGUUUUUAAUGACCACAGCAAGCAAGCAUGCAGCUUGCCGCUUGAAAGACAGGGUCUUGCCUCACCCACGCUGGAGUGCAGUGGCCCUUUAAGGCUUACUACUGCGUCAGACUUCUGGGCUCAAGUGAUCCUCAGCCUCCCAAUGGUCUUUGUAGACAGCCUGUUGGAGUCUCAUGGCACAAGAGGAUUAAAACAGUGUCUCCAAUUUUAAUAAAUUUUUGCAAUCCUU